rnacentral:lncRNA from 1 species
CAUCCCAAUCCUUUUCUAGUUUGGGUACCUUAACACCCUCUACAUAUAUGGAUGGGAUGUAUGGGCCAUUUACUACAAUGGACCACAUCUCAUAGUCUUGGGCUUGGAUGAAUAUUCUCAUCCUAGCCUUCCAGUAUGAGUAGUCGGAUCCAUAAAGAAAGGAGGUCUUUGGGUGGACUGACCCUCAAUGUGGGAAGAUCCAAAUGGGGUUGUCAUUUUGAUCUUUUAACUCUUGGGUGGAAGAGUUUUGGCUCUGAUACCACUUGUUGCCCAGAUAGACAACCCAAGAGGGGGGGGGUGAAUUGGGUUUUAAAAUAAUUUAGAUAAUUAAAACG